rnacentral:rRNA from 1 species
AGAGUUUGAUCCUGGCUCAGAACGAACGCUGGCGGCAUGCCUAACACAUGCAAGUCGAACGCCUGUAGCAAUACAGGAGUGGCGCACGGGUGAGUAACGCGUGGGAACCUGCCCUGGAGUGGGGGAUAACCGAGGGAAACCUCGGCUAAUACCGCAUACGACCUGAGGGUGAAAGAUUUAUCGCUCUAGGAGGGGCCCGCGUCGGAUUAGCUAGUUGGUGAGGUAACGGCCCACCAAGGCUAUGAUCCGUAGCUGGUCUGAGAGGAUGAUCAGCCACACUGGGACUGAGACACGGCCCAGACUCCUACGGGAGGCAGCAGUGGGGAAUAUUGGACAAUGGGCGCAAGCCUGAUCCAGCAAUGCCGCGUGAGUGAUGAAGGCCUUAGGGUUGUAAAGCUCUUUCGCACGCGACGAUGAUGACGGUAGCGUGAGAAGAAGCCCCGGCUAACUUCGUGCCAGCAGCCGCGGUAAUACGAAGGGGGCGAGCGUUGUUCGGAAUUACUGGGCGUAAAGGGCGCGCAGGCGGCGCGACAAGUCAGGCGUGAAAGCCCCGGGCUCAACCUGGGAAUUGCGUUUGAUACUGUCGUGCUGGAGUUCGGGAGAGGAGAGUGGAAUUCCCAGUGUAGGGGUGAAAUUCGUAGAUAUUGGGAAGAACACCGGUGGCGAAGGCGGCUCUCUGGACCGAUACUGACGCUGAGGCGCGAAAGCGUGGGGAGCAAACAGGAUUAGAUACCCUAGUAGUCC